rnacentral:lncRNA from 14 species
CAUCCAAUCCCAUGGGAUGCUCUAUGGGAUGAAGGCUUUGACUCCUCCUCCUCUCCAUAGGGAUCCCCAGGUCCAACAGGAGAGAACGGUCCCCCCGGUCCCAUAGGGAAGAGGGUAAGAUCCGGAUGAUCCCAAUGCAUCCCAUAGGGAUCAAUGCCCAUGGAUGCCCCAUCCCAUUGAAUCCCAUAUCCAUAGGGUCCAGCUGGAUCCCCUGGUCCCGAAGGACGUCAGGGGGAGAAGGGAGCCAAGGGAGAAGUGGGAGCUCCUGGAGCACCAGGGAAGACGGGACCAGUAGGACCACAGGGAGUGACUGGGAAGCAGGGACCGGAUGGACUGAGAGGGAUCCCGGGAUCUGUGGGAGAACAAGGAAAACCAGGAAGCACAGGACAGGCUGGACCCCCUGGACCAAUGGGUCCUCCAGGGCUCCCAGGCCUCAAAGGGGACACCGGAGCCAAAGGGGAGAAGGGCCACCCUGGUCUCAUUGGCUUAAUAGGACCCCCAGGAGAACAGGGGGACAAAGGGGAACGAGGCCUCCCUGGGCCCCAUGGAUCUAUGGGGCAGAAGGGGGAAACUGUGAGUACUUAUGGGGCAGAAGGUGCCCCCCCCCCCCAGCCCCAUAGAUGGGUUGUCCCCAUCACUUCCUAUCUCUUCCAUAGGGCAUCCCUGGUGCUACCGGACCCAU